rnacentral:tRNA from 4 species
GAAACUUAGGAUAACUUAAACCGAGG